GGGAAAAGUGGUAUCGAUCUCGGGCUUCUAACCUUAGGAUUAAGCGGUUGGAUUCCGUUUUUUUCCCU
rnacentral:tRNA from 1 species